UGUGAACGCUGGCGGUAGGCCUAACACAUGCAAGUCGAACGGCAGCACAGUAAGAGCUUGCUCUUACGGGUGGCGAGUGGCGGACGGGUGAGGAAUACAUCGGAAUCUACUUUUUCGUGGGGGAUAACGUAGGGAAACUUACGCUAAUACCGCAUACGACCUACGGGUGAAAGCAGGGGAUCUUCGGACCUUGCGCGAUUGAAUGAGCCGAUGUCGGAUUAGCUAGUUGGCGGGGUAAAGGCCCACCAAGGCGACGAUCCGUAGCUGGUCUGAGAGGAUGAUCAGCCACACUGGAACUGAGACACGGUCCAGACUCCUACGGGAGGCAGCAGUGGGGAAUAUUGGACAAAGGGCGCAAGCCUGAUCCAGCCAUACCGCGUGGGUGAAGAAGGCCUUCGGGUUGUAAAGCCCUUUUGUUGGGAAAGAAAAGCAGCAGGUUAAUACCCCGCUGUUCUGACGGUACCCAAAGAAUAAGCACCGGCUAACUUCGUG
rnacentral:rRNA from 1 species